GAUCCUGGCUCAGAACGAACGCUGGCGGCGUGGAUAAGGCAUGCAAGUCGAGCGAGAAAGCUCCUUCGGGAGUGAGUACAGCGGCAAACGGGUGAGUAACACGUGAGUAACCUGUCUUUCGGUGGGGGACAACCCCGGGAAACCGGGGCUAAUACCGCAUGACGUUGCUUUGGCAUAAGCCAGAGCAACCAAAGGAGGGGACCUUCGGGCCUUCCGCCGAAUGAGGGGCUCGCGCCUGAUUAGCUAGUUGGUGGGGUAACGGCUCACCAAGGCAGUGAUCAGUAGCCGGUCUGAGAGGAUGGCUGGCCACACUGGGAUUGAGAUACGGCCCAGACUCCUACGGGAGGCAGCAGUCUAGAAGCUUCGGCAAUGGGGGCAACCCUGACCGAGCGACGCCGCGUGCGGGACGAAGGCCUUCGGGUUGUAAACCGCUUUCGACAGGGACGAAGGAAGGAGAAUAUAACACAUUCUCCAACUUGACGGUACCUGCAGAAGAAGCCCUGGCUAACUCCGUGCCAGCAGCCGCGGUAAUACGGAGAGGGCAAGCGUUGUUCGGAUUUAUUGGGCGUAAAGCGCGCGUAGGCGGUAUGGUAAGUCGGAUGUUAAAGACCCACGGCUCACCCGGGGGAAUGCGUCCGAUACUGCCGUACUGGAGUACGGGAGAGGGAAGUGGAAUUCCUGGUGUAGCGGUGAAAUGCGUAGAUAUCAGGAGGAACACCUGUGGCGAAGGCGGCUUCCUGGCCCGUAACUGACGCUGAGGCGCGAAAGCGUGGGGAGCGAACGGGAUUAGAUACCCCGGUAGUCCACGCCGUAAACGUUGGAUACUAGGUGUUGGAGGUAUUCUACCCC
rnacentral:rRNA from 1 species